AUGAAAAGUCAAGUCGUACGAUCUUUGCAUCGCAGGCUCAGAGCAAUCUGUAGGCGAAGCCGGAUGGAUCCAGCAUGCAUGCAUGCACCAGAGCGUGCUAGCUACUGUCGGUCCGGUCCGAAUCAAUGUUUGUACCCGGCCGUCUCAAGAAGAAGAGCUGGAGGAGUCGAACGUCGAGACCCUCCGGCGUUUGCUGGCCAGGAGCGAGUCCCUCGGCGAGAACUCGAAGGCGGCGGCGGCGCUGGCGACCCUGUCGAGCACCGAGUCGAGCGCCCGGCGGACCGAGGCCGCCGUCACGGCGCCCUCGCGCAACAUGGCGACGGUGAUCCGGACGCGCCCGCCCAGCGUGGUGACCUCCGAGCCGACGACCCUCGGCGCGAGCGGCUGCAGCGCGCGCCUCACGUCGGCGAAGAGGUCCGCGCAGCCGUCGCCGCAGCUGAGCGUCGCCUUGACGAGGAAGGCGGCGCCGGCGCGGCUGUGUUGGGGGGAUUCUUGCGGUUGCUGGACGACCUCCACGGUGACCUCGUCGGCGCCGGACGGGACGGGGCAGUGCCUGCCCACCCGCGCCGCCUCGCUCUUGAGCUUCUUAACGUGGUUUAUCACCUCCGCGAGCAGCGCCGCCUUGUCCAUCUCCAUGCUCCGGAGCGUGGCGAGGUGCGCGUUGAUCCUCUCCCUCCGCCGCCGCUCCGCUUCGCUGUGGCUCCUAAGGGCCGUCGCCGCUUUCUCCUCCCGCGCUCCCCCCUUCCUCUUCGGCACGUCCGCGGCGGCGGCUGCGGCCAGCUCCCCCGUCCCGCCAUCCAGCAGGACCGACGACGACGUCGACGCUCCCAGAUGCUGGCCAAAGCCAUGUUCAUGUCCAUGCCCGCCGCCGAAACCACCGUAAAACCCAUCGUAGAGCCCCACCGCGCCGCUGAAGGGGCCAGAGUUCAUCUCGUCCCACAAGGCCAAAGGACGUGA
rnacentral:rRNA from 1 species